rnacentral:rRNA from 1 species
GAUGAACGCCGGCGGUGUGCCUAAUACAUGCAAGUCGUACGCACUGGCCCAACUGAUUGAUGGUGCUUGCACCUGAUUGACGAUGGAUCACCGGUGAGUGGCGGACGGGUGAGUAACACGUAGGUAACCUGCCCCGGAGCGGGGGAUAACAUUUGGAAACAGAUGCUAAUACCGCAUAACAACAAAAGCUGCAUGGCUUUUGUUUGAAAGAUGGCUUUAGCUAUCACUCUGGGAUGGACCUGCGGUGCAUUAGCUAGUUGGUAAGGUAACGGCUUACCAAGGCGAUGAUGCAUAGCCGAGUUGAGAGACUGAUCGGCCACAAUGGAACUGAGACACGGUCCAU